GACGAACGCUGGCGGCGUGCCUAACACAUGCAAGUCGAACGGAAAGUUAGCAAUAACUUUUAGUGGCGAACGGGUGAGUAACGCGUGGGCAACCUGCCCUUCAGACGGGGACAACAUUCCGAAAGGAGUGCUAAUACCGGAUACGACCUUUAGACCGCAUGGUUUAAAGAAGAAAGGUGGCCUCUAUUUAUAAGCUACCGCUGAAGGAUGGGCCUGCGUCUGAUUAGCUAGUUGGUGGGGUAAAGGCCUACCAAGGCGACGAUCAGUAGCCGGUCUGAGGGGAGGAACGGCCACCCUGGGACUGAGACACGGCCCAGACUCCUACGGGAGGCAGCAGUGGGGAAUCUUCCGCAAUGGGCGAAAGCCUGACGGAGCGACGCCGCGUGAGUGAAGAAGGUCUUCGGAUUGUAAAGCUCUGUUUAAAGGGACGAAUGUAUAGAUUGUGAAUAAUGGUUUAUAAUGACGGUACUUAACGAGGAAGCCACGGCUAACUACGUGCCAGCCGCCGCGGUAA
rnacentral:rRNA from 1 species